rnacentral:lncRNA from 1 species
GGUGCAGUGGCUUCUAUGUUUUGGGUUGAUGCUGAAUUAGGGAGUGAUAUUUACCUUGAUGGUAUCAUAACUAUUGUGGAUUCAAAAUAUGGAUUAAAAGUGAAAUACCACUAAAGGCAGAAGAGAAUGAAAUCAUCCCACCCACUGACCCGUUCCCAAUCUGAGCAUAUGGAUAGGGCCCAAAGCACAUUUAACAGAAGAGAAACCUGAUGGCCUUAUCAAUGAAGCUACUAGGCAAGUUGCUUUGGCAGAUAUCGUUCUCAUUAAUAAAACAGACUUGGUUCCAGAAGAAGAUGUAAAGAAAUUAAGAACAACAAUUAGAUCCAUAAAUGGACUAGGACAAAUCUUAGAAACACAAAGAUCAAGUUGUUUUUAGUUUGCAGAAAAAACUUCAGCAUGUGCCAGGAACACAACCUCACCUUGAUCAG